AUGUUAUUUACUACACCUAAGCAAUUCAAGGAAGCUAUAACAGAUUAUGUAGUUCAUGGUGGAUGGGGAUCAGAUUUGUUAAAAAUGAUCUAUAAAAGGUAAGAGCUGUCUGCCAAGAAAGGUGCAAGUUUGUUGCCUAUCUAACAAAGGUGCCAAGGGAGAGGAGCUACCAACUAAGGACAUUGACAUUGGAACACACAUGCUCUAGAAGUUAUAAGAAUCCUAGGUGUACUUCAUCACACAUUGGGAAGAAGUUGAUGAAGAAAAUGAAAAGACAACCUAAUAUCAAGCUGAGAGACAUCUAAGAGACUGUCCUUGACAAGUAUACCCUAAAUAUAAGUGUAGGAAAAACAAGUAGGGCUAGGAGUAAGGCUCAAGAAUAUGUUGAUGGGGCUUAUACACAACAGAACAACCAGUUGUGGGAGUACUGUGAGGAAUUAAGGAGGGUUAGUCCUGGUAGUACCAUACUUAUGAAGGUACAUAUCUUCCACGAUGGUGAAUUAGUAGCUGAGAUGGAUUUAGUGUGUGGGGUGCCUUAUUUUGAGAGGCUAUACAUAUGUUUGGAGGGCUACAAAAAGGUGUUUUUGGCUGGAUACAGGCCAUUUAUUGGUUUGGAUGCCUGCCAUUUGAAGAACAAGCCAGGGGGGCAAUUGAUUACUGUAGUAUGCAGAGACCCUAAUAAGGAGUAUUUCCCACUUACAUAUGCAGUGGUAGAGGCUGAAACCAAGGAAUCUUGGACUUGGUUCAUCAAUCUGUUACUUAUAGACAUAGGUCAAAAUAGGAGAUGGGUGUUUAUGUUAGACCAGCAAAAGGUGUGCAGUUUAUUCUCUAUUUGGUUGUUUUUUUUUUCUUCAUUUACUCAUUGUAUCUAUCUUUAAGACAUAUUUUCCUUUGAUACUAUUUGUGACAGGGGUUGGUGCAAACUUUCAUUGAUAACUGGUCAAAAUAUGAACAUAGGAUUUACUAAAGGCACCUCUACAACAACUUGAAGAAGAACCAUCCUAAUGUUCUGAUCAGAGAACUGUUUUGGAGGGUAGCCAAGGCAACUUAUAAAGAAGAGUUUGUUAGGGUGAUAGAUGAGCUAAAGGGUAUUGAUGCUGAUGCACAUAGUUGGUUGGAUGCUCAUUCAACAACAAAAUGGGCUAGACACAUGUUUAGUGAGGAUGCCUUGACUGACACUAUAAUAAACAAUAUAUGUGAGAGUUUCAACAGCAGGAUUCUUAAAUUCAGGUCUAAGCUUAUAAUUAGCAUGGUGUGAGUCUUUGUGAUCACCUACAGUUAAUUAGAUUCAUUGUUUGGUACAGUUUUUAGCAGGUGUUACAAUUAAUAUCUAAUGUUUCAUUGUACUUGGAUGUGCUUGCAGCUUGAGUGUAUUAGGCUAUAUCUCAUGGCUAGGUUUCAAGAGAAUAGAGAGAAGAUUCUGAGAGUAGAGUCAGAUAUUUGUGCCAAGGUUCUGAAGAGGUUGCACAAGGAAAAACUGGCAGUCAGUAGGUGGUUAGCUUAUUGGGCAGGGCAGACCCAGUUUGAAGUAAAAAAUGGUCUGCAAAGUUUCACCGUUGACUUGGCCACAGCACGCUGCAAUUGUAGGAAGUGAGAUAUAAGUGGCAUACCCUGUGCUCAUGUAAUCUCCUGCAUAUGUUUCAAUAAACAAGAUGCUAAGCAGUAUUUUCACCCAUGUUACCAUGUCUCUACAUACAAGGUCUACUAUAAACCAAUCAUAUCACCAAUCAAUGGACAGAAUAUGUGGAGACCUAGUGGUUUGACCCUAGUUUAGCCUCCCAUCAAAAGAAGACACCUAACAGACCUAAGAAGAAGAGAGCAAGGGAACCUAAUGAGCCAACAAGUAGGAGAAUUGACAUCUCUAAGCAAUGCAAGGGUGAGAUUGGAGGGAAUUUCUUACUGCCAAGCACCACAAACAGAACUAGUACAUUUAAUAAAGUAAUAUAUGGACAUCUGUGUGAAAUAGUUGCUUUUCAAUAUUCAAUAUUAAUGUGUGUGAAUUUCUUGUUUGUAGGCCAACAUGCACAGCUUCAGCUUCACUCUAAGUGCACCACCUCAAUCUAGGCAUGCAUAGCCCAUCCACUCAAAGUGUACCAUACCAGUCCAGCAUGCCUAGGUUUAGGCCAAGUGCACUACCUCAGUCUAGCAUGAAUAGCUGUGCCACUCAAAGUGCACUAUACCAGUCCAGCAAGCCCAGCUUCAGGCCAGGUGCACCAUCUUAGGCUAAGACAAGCUUAGCCACUCAAUUUGUACCAUCUCAGACCAGGAUGCACCAAUCCAGUCCAAAUGUAACACCUCAUGCCAAGACAAGCUCAUCCAAACUUUUAGGCCAGCAAAAGCACAUUCAUCCACUCAUAUACACAGCAGCACAUCUCCACUCCAGCUACACCACACUAGUUAGGCAGCAUCACAUAGAAUCUAGGUGCACAUCAGAACUCCAGCAGGAGCAACCCAAAUUCAAGGCAGAAAAAGACAAGGGUGGUCACAUCAGAGACUCUAAAGGCUUCUAAGAAUGUAUCUAGAUACAUGGAAGCAAUUAGACAUGGUAGGAGUGAAUCAUCUGUGCAUGGUCCAAGGAAAUGAAGAGAGCACAAGUUCAUUUUUCCUUUGCUUGUUUUGUGUAUUUAUGAUGAUAGGGUUAACUAUGGAACAUUGCCCUUUAUUUUGUAGAAAGUGAUGGUAAUGGUAAUGGUGAUAGGGUUUCCUAUAUAUUUCUUAUCUAUGAUCCAACUCUCUUAUGUUUUAUUUUCUAUAUAACUGAAACUUUUUUCCAUCUUUCAAAAUUCUAGCUAGCUACAGCUUCAGUGGUGAUAUUACAGAUAAGUUGGGUAAUCUUCACAGUAAGUAGAGCCUAGAGAAAAAGAAAAAAAGAAAAAAAAGGAAAGACAAAUUAUAUGUUUCACUUCAGCACAAGUGGUCUCUCUUUAACUUUUUGUUCCUUCAGCAUUGAUCCUGCAGGGGUUCUUGAGAACUGGUAUGCCAAAGUUCACAUAGGCAGCUGGAAUGGAUUGACAUGUUCAGAUGAUCAAACACACAAACAAAUAGACAAUACUAUUAAAAAUAUUUAAUGUUCUGUUUUUGGGAGACAAACCCAUGGAAAGGGAACAUAGAUACACACAUUCCAACAACCCCACAUUGAUGAAUACAAAACAAAUGUUAAGCACACAAAAAUUCGAAAUCAUUCAAUGUGGCAAAAAUGUUACAAAGGAGAGAAUGAAUCAUUAUUAAUAUUUUACCAUUGAAAAACACAAUUAGAAAACAGGGGUAUUCAUUUCAUUAUAGGAAUGGUACACAAAAAAAAGCCAACAGGUGUUUCCAUGCUAACUACCUAACCAAAACUUUUACACACUACCAACCCUAUGCAUUAGCAAUUAUAGGAUGUUGAAACUCCCCCAUCUAUGUAACAUGCUAACCAAACAUACACUUCCACCACCCACCUAACCAAACAUAAACACUUCCACACUUCCAACUUGCUGCCUAACCAAACUUCCACUACCUGUCUAACUACCCAUACAAUUAAAGAGACAAAUCCCACAUAUCACCAAUAAGAAUGCCAAAACCACAAUGUAAAACUUCUCUCUCUUGUAGCAUCUUGCAACCUUGGCCUCUAGUCUGAUAAUCUGUUGCCUUUGCUCUGGGAUGAGCACCUUACCACGUUCACAUAUUUCAUCAUCACGCCAUUGGAAGAAUUUACACUUUCGCCCAACCUGAAAUGCAAACCAAUUUCUUCAUCCAUCAAGCUACUUAAUGACCAAUAAGGACUGUAUAAUUAACAUGAAAUUGAAAAAACAUUGUUGUUUAUAUAUAACCAUAGCAAUCCAAUUUUUAAGAAAACAUUAACAUUGAAGAUCAACAUCAUUUAAGCAUGCACUCCAUAGCAAACAAAUAACUUAACUUCAGCAAAAACAGGAUGAAUGAAGAUAUUUGGUCUUUCAGCCCUCCUCCCUCCCAAAUAAAAAAAAAAAAAAAAUAGUAUUUGAAUUUUAUUGAAGGAACAAUAAUUAGUGUCUUAAAUAAAUGAAUCUGAAAGCAUAUAUGAAACUCUCAGUCUAUUAAGUCCACAGAAAAAAAAAAUGAUUAAUUACUCAAAUAUUGAAAUACUCAAAACCUACAUUUUGCCAACAUGAUUAAAAGUUGAGGGGUUUUUUUUUUUUUUUUUUUUUUAAUUGAUAUUCAUUUAUUUUACUUAGCAAUUAAAAAAUCCAUAAACAACCCAAACUUUUAAUAGCACAUUAGAGCAGAAAGCCAAACUCAAAUCCAAUGAUUGGAGCAUUAUAAUCAUACAAACCCUAACCAAAAGCUCAAAAACCAAUAUUUGUCAAAUUUUUGGGAAAUGCCAACAAAAUUAGAGCAGAAAGCAUAGAAUAGCUUAGAUAUUUUAAGCGGAUUACCAAAAGGUUGAGAUUUUUAAUAAUCUCCAUAAACAGAGCACAGAACAGAAUGACAACUAAAACAUUUCAAGCACCCAACUCAAAGAUUCCAGGAAUCACCCAUAACUCCAAGGCUAAAACAGAAUAACAUCAAUAACCCACCAACGGUAACAAAGCAUAGCAAAGAAAUAUCAACUACUUCAUAGAAAAAAAAAAACAUAAUUGGGUGUUCUAACAUGGUCAACACAACAAAACAUGAUUGAUUAAAAAAAAAAAACUCAAAUAUUGAAAUACCUAGUAGUUUGGACAGCCAUAAAACCUUCUGCUAGGGUUGUCUAUUGUCCACGAAACAACUAACACUAGUUUUUCAGCACAGUAGCACCUAAAUGGAGCUUUCCUCCUCAAGCUUGAAUUGGUUGAAGAGCUUGCUUCCAUCUGAUCAGGGACUCUGAAAUGGUUGAAGAUCUUGAGAGAUGGUUGAUGAUGAUGGUGGCUUCAAGUGGCAAAGAUGGUUUGGGAGGCUGAUAGUUCGAGAGAGACAGAGAGGCUGAUCUAGGGAUUAAAGUCUGAUUUGGGGAUUUUUCUUUACCUACAUGUCAGAUUGCUUGGUAAGUGCUUCAUGUAAGCUUUCCCCAUUAUUUUAUUGAUCCAUGUGUAAAAAAAGUCAUUAUUUUAUUGAUUCGUCAGCCACAUCAGCUUUCCCUGUUAGUUUGGUGACGAAAUGGUGCUUCAAGGACUUAAAUGUCCCGCGUUAAUUGGUUUAGGAAUUAAAAGUGGUAAAAAUAAAAUGUAGAGACUAAAAUAGAAAAAAAGUCAAAAUGUAGGGACUAAAAGUGCAUUUACGCCAUUUAUAAAUUGCCGUUUUUCAUUUCUUUUCUAUUUUUUGGAAUCUGCGCCUUUCAACUUCUUGUUAUUUCUUUUUCAAUUUUUUCUUCUUCUUUUUUAAUUUAUUUCGCACCCUUUUUUUUAUUUUUAUUUUUAUUUUUUUUAUACAAGAUAGAAUUUCUACUAGCCUAAUCUAAGUGCAUAUGUGUGUAAAAUUCCCUCUUGGAAACUUGAACCUCCGCCUUUACCCCCCACACCCCACAAGUAUUUAUACUUGUGGAGUGACCACCACACCAAGGGUGAACCCAAAUUUUUUUACCAUUUUUUUUUUUUGUCUCCAUUUAGCUUUUAACAUCUUAAAAUAUAACUCUAUCUAUUUUAACAACACACUUUACAAAUGAUCAAAUAUCAAAAAGUAAUAUUUUUCACAUCUCAGCUAAAAUUUAUUCAUUUUUUUUUAUUGAUUUCUCUCUCCUAUUUUGGUCAUUCUCUCUUCGUCUGAUCAACCUCACAGCCCACCAUUCACCAUCUCCACAAACCCACAACUAACCACCACCCACAAAACCCCAACAACAACCCACCCCAGCCACCCAAACGAUCCACCCCAACCCUAAUUUGAUUUGAUGCAGCCACCCUUACCAACAGUAAUGACCACCCCAAAAACCCAGCCGCAAAACCUAGCCACAACCCAUAGCCACCGAAUCAACCCACAUCACCUCCUCUAAAACAUCAUUACCCACAGAAUCAAAGUGACCCAUAGAAACAUCAUGACCCAUGAACCGCAAUCACUUACAGCCAGAACCACCGAAACCCAGAAAAAGUAGAGAGAACAGUCCAUGAUCCACCACCAUGGAGAUUUAAAGACCACGAUCCACGAUUCACCACCACCACGAUCCACCGGUGAAAAGGAGAGAGAACCAAUGAGAAGAGAAGAAAAAAAAAAGGGACUGAACACUGAAUAGAGAAGAAAGAGAAAAAAGAGAGACAGAUGGAUUGAACAAAGAAGAAAGAAAGAUAAGAAAAAUAUUUUUUUUAAGGAAAAGCAGAGAGAGAAUAAAUGAAGGACAAAAUUUAGCUACAAAAUUAGUUGUAACCUAAGGCUACAAGCUUACUCAAUAAAAUAAAGGCGAAAAGCCACUUUUAGUCCUUACAUUUUCAGGCGAUUCCCAUUUUAGUCCCUACAUUUUAUUUUUACUGCUUUUAGUCCCUAUUCUGAAAAACGCUUUCUAUUUUAGUCCCUGCCGUUACUUAUUUAACAGAAUUAUUCUACGUGGCAAACGGUCCAACAGUAAAUGCUGAUGUGUUCAUUAAAAUAAUAUUAAAAAAAUUAUUUACAUUUCUUAAAAUGUCACAUCAGCAAUUUAAUUUUAAAAAAAAAGCCAUGUCAGAUAAAAAUAUUAUAAAAAUUUCUAACCUAAUUAUUUUUUUAAAAAAGAAAAGAAAUUAGUUAAAUUAAUUUUUUUUUCUUUUUUUGGAAGAACAUGAAGAACUCAGAAAUUUUUUUUUUUCAUUUUCUUUCCCAACUAAGCUUGCCUAGAAAUUUAAAAAUUAAAAAUUUCCUUUCCUUUUCUUGCAUUUUCUUAGCAACCAAACACAAAAAACACAAAACUCAAACCCAGCUUUUCGGCCUCCAUACACAACCAAACCACAAACAACGACACAACCUUAAAUUCCUUAAACUCAAACCCAGAUUUUCAUCUUGCACAGACUGUGGGAUGAGCAAGCGUUCGAUUCUGUGGAUGACUUCGUCGGGUUGGGUCAGGAAAUCCGGGUGGAUGAGCUUCGCGUGGUCAACGGUUUUGUCUCCGGUCUUUUCGUGGUGGGUGAGGAAGAGAUUGUCGUGGGAGAGAGUGCAGUGGUGGUGAGUUGACUCGGGGUGAGUUGGCCAUUUGUUGGAUCCGAUCCGAGUUGGGAUAAUGUGGAACAUCAAGAGCUUUUGGAGAGACUUGAGAUUGCCAAGCUCAAGCAAGAAGCGCUUGAACUCAGGGUCGAGAUCGCGUUCUAGAGCUUUAUUUCUGGGUGCGAAGAUUAUGAUGUUGUGCUUGUCGACUGUCUCUUCUAGCGUCUGCAACAGCAAGGCUUUCUCGACCAGCUCGGCGAGCUCAGUGUAAUGCGAGUCCAGAAGAGCGACGAGGACCGAGUUGGAGUUUAUUUGGCUGGAGUUAUUCGCCGGAGAAGAUGA
rnacentral:sRNA from 1 species